AAUUUCAAGGAAGCACUUUGGGCGCCAGGAUUCCCAGCACUUAGCUGGUGGGCAAAGGGGCUCAUCCCCUUCCCCACAUCCCACCUUCCCUCCUCCCAGUCUUCGGGAGUGCGGAGCUCCUGCCGGGAUCCAAGAGCAGGCUCUUGGAGGUCGAAGAAGGAUAUAACCUCCAGACCUGGAAUUUAAGACGCAAGAACCAGCCAGCAAAUGUGGCAGCAGAGCAUGCGAGGGACUGCUGAAGGCUUUUUAUUUGGAAGCUAUGAAACUUGAGGUUCUACUGAAAAGGAGAAGAGGCUGCUGGAGAUGGGAAGNCAAGAAAACCCUCUCACUGGCAUGGAGCACAGCAAGCAGGCUAGGCUGGCUGGCUAGUGAUCUCCAUCCCAUCUAUCUUUGCCUUCUCAGCACCGGGAUUGCAUACCCACCCAGAAUUCUUGGCAUGUUUCUUCAUCCUCUCCAUUUCAANUUUUAUUUUUAUAAAAGGAAGAUAACAGUAAGAUAUCUAAUUUCAUUAAUGUUUAAUCAAGAAAGUUGUAAAGGUUUAAAUAUAUGUUCUAUUUUGAUUUAUCUCCUAGUGUGUUUCAAGGAGAACUUUCCAAGAUCUGAGGGUCAACUGUCAGCUUCACGUGUUUUAAAUUGACAUGUAUUUGUCCAGAUUUACAGAGUUCAGCAUAGCAAGUUAACGCAUGAUAUGUAAUAAAUGAUGAUCCAAUUGGGGGUAUUUAGUAUUUCCAUUUCUUCAUUUAUCACUCUAUGCUCUGGGAAGCAUCAAAGUCUUUUAGUUAUUUUGAAGUAUCUCAUGAAUGUUAUAGGCAACAAUUAGGUCAUUUCAGCAUGAACCAUAGGGGGAAAAAUCCUCCUGUUUAUUGACUAUUGGUAUAUUUCUGUGGAUUGAUGCCUAUUACAUAACCUCUUUGCAGCCACACACCCCUGUCUUUAAUGACCUGUAGUCUACUCUAUUUUAUGAAGUCAAUUGUAUUAAAUCUCCAAGAUAAUUG
rnacentral:lncRNA from 1 species